CGAGGAAGUAGCCGACAACCUUUUGUUUCCGGAACAAAAACAAACGAAAUAGAGAUAUGUUCGAAGCAUACCGCCUAUCUAUGGUGUGACGUCUCACGGCAUUAACUGAACACUGCAUUGCAAAUGAGCUAGUAGGACUAUAACAUAAGUGUUUAACAUAUAAAUAGUACCAAGCCAAGGAAGGGCAUGUCCAAUAGCGUCGUCUUUCAUGCUCAGCUAGCCUCCAUCAUUGAGGUUUUGGCGAAUGCAGCCGUUGCCGAAAUCUGCAAACUUGUAGAUGAUGGCCAUGCUGCCUUACGUUUGGAAAUUUCCCAUAGCCAGAAAGAAAUUGAUAACCUACGGAGGAAGCUGCUUUUGACAAAAUUCCAGAAUUCUCGACGAAGCGCAGAGAGAUUUGGAGCCCUGCGACGCACAGUUCACAGGCGAGUGGACACCGUUCAUGUUGUCCGGGAGAGAGAGAGCUUCGUAGAAAAGGCAAAAAGCAGACUUGGAUAUGUGGAAAAUCGUUUUGCCUACAGUGAAGGGGGCAAAUGCAUGCAGGAUGUCACCAACCGGAGAGACGCAGGACGCACAGCGACAGACCAGGAUGGGGCCGUGCAGAUGGCAGAUAUACAAGAGGCAGCACUUAUCAAAAUGGAAAAUCUUGACACCAGCAUAACGGAAGAGAUUGUCCAACUGGUCAGUGAGAGCAGUGAGAAGAUUGUGCCAGAACCAGGUUUUUCAUCAUCUACUGAAACCACAGAUCUUCUGGACCAGCAGGGCAACAGACACAGAGCUCCAGACACCUCACUCAAUAUAGAACCUGAAAACCAGAAGUUCCAGCAUCCAGCAUCACAAUACAGCAGAGCAAGACAGGACCAUCAGGUUGCUGAGGGUGUGACCUGGGAAACUGACCAUCAACCCAUAUCAUACAGCCUGUCUCAAUGGACAGAGAACCAAGAGACUGACAACCAAACUGUGAAUGCUCCUCACAAUGCCGGGCCAGACUCCAAAAGGCUGUGUGAACAUCCAGAGAGGAGAGGGGCACCAGGUAACUCUGGGGUCUGCAUGUCUGCUUUGGGCUCUCUGGACUGGGUGUCUGAUGUGGUGCUGGUGGACUCAGUUCCCAUUAAAGUGGAGGCAGAUAUGAGUUCAGAAUGGAGCAUAACUGGCCAAGAGGCGACAUCUGGAGAGGUCUGUUCAGACGGCAGGCAGCUUGUGGACAACAGAGGAAGAGGGGGAAUGGAAUCUGGACAGACAAAGUGUCCCCCUGACACUCAACAUGCAGAGCAAGGGAGAACUGUAGGAUCAAGGUCCAAGUUGCCAGAUUUCAGUGGACUGCCCAACCGAAGCAGAUUUUCAACCCCAAGGGUCACUCUCCACCAGGUUCCCCAAAGAGGGAAGCAAGCUCCCUUCCUGAAUUUCAACAGAGGCUCCACUUCUUCAUCGAAAGGCAUAGAAAAGCAGCCGCAACAGCUAACGUCUCACUCCACCAAGAGGCAGCUCCGGUGCAGCCUCUGCGGAAAGCCCUUUCCUCAGCCGGCAUACCUAAGGAGGCACAUGCGGGUCCAUACGGGGGAGAAACCGUACGGCUGCAGCCACUGCACCAAGCGCUUCUCCCACAGCCACCAGCUGAAGAUGCAUGAGAGGGUGCACACCGGAGAGAAACCGUUUCAUUGCAUCUACUGCGGGAAGUGCUUCACCCAGUCCGGCCACAUGAAGAGGCACCUCCUUGUCCACACUGGUGGCAGGCCACAGGACGUUGUGCUGCCCUGAGUGUUCCAAGGUGAAAUUUCCCCUAGGUACAGAUCUAGAAUCAGCUUCCUCUUCCCCAAUCCUAACCUUAACCAUUAGUGAAAAAAAUAUACUAAACUGACCGAAGAUCAGCUUUCUAGGGGUAACUUCACACUACUCCACCUGGCAUAAUGAUAAGUAGGGCCAGGAGUUUUUCCUCACCAUGUGAUCAGACCAGGAAAAACUCCUCUCUAGUUGUAAGUGGAAUGGCUCCACACUACUGGGGUUUUCAUAUGAACACUGGGUCCAUGUGUUUUUAACAGUUUGGAUGGUUUCCACAUUGAACACUACCCUCUGUGUGUAGUGGUAGUGUUUUCAGUUCAACUGGCUUGAUGCUUGGUCCAGAGUGGACUGAUAAUCUAUAACUUAUGACAGGUGAAGAUUUUAAAAAUCAUUGGUGCAGUACAGUAAUUUAUUUGAAUUGUAUUUAUUAUUUAUUUGACCAGGUGAGUUGACUGAGAAUACAUUGUGAUUUACAGCAACGUCCUGGGGUAAACUACAAAACAUAGGCCUAGUUAAAAAGCCAUAGUUAACACACAGAAAUAUAACCAAGCAAAGGAAAAAAAUACAAUAAAGAUCAAUUUCAAGAAUUCCAAUUUCCUUUUGCCUCUCAACAAUAUAGAUGUACUAUAAGAAUGAUAGGCUACAAGCAAAUUAUAGAGAUGUGAUGGAAUUAAUAUAUAUUUAGUGUCUGUCCUCAUACAAUAAAGUAAGCUAAUGUAAUUGAAUAAUAAUAAUUGAUUGGAUUUAUAUAGUGCUUUUCUACCAACUGAGGUACUCAAAGUGGUUUACAUAGUAAGGGAGAAACUCACCUGAUCCACCACCAAGGUGAUGCAUAGCAACCAUUUUUAUGCCAGAACGCUUACCAAACAGCAGCAAGAAAGGUGAGGAGUGAUAUAUGCCAAUUGGGGAGAGGAUUAGGUGGCCAUGAUGGUUUGAGGGCCAGACUAGGAAUUUAGCCAGGAUACCGGGGUGAACACACCUACUCUUACGAUAAGUGCCAUGGGAUUUUUAAUGACCACAGAGAGUCAGAACACCCGUUUAACAUCCCAUCCAAAAGACAGCACCCUUCGUAGGGCAAUGUCCCCUCUACUGCCCUGGGGAUCUCCUUAGACCAGAGGGGAGUGCUCUCUACUGGCUUUACAAUACCACUUCCAGCAGCACCUGGUCUCCCAUCCAGGGACCAUCCCUGCUUAGCUUCAGAGGCAAACCAGCAAUGGGAUGCAGGGUGGCAUGCUGCUGGUAUCAAGUUGAAGGCAUGUAUCAAAUUGUUGUUUACUGAAACUCCCAAAGUCUUUCCAAUCAAUGUAAUAAAUGUUAAACAAUAGCCUACCUUUUGUGUGGUCACCUAGAUGAUAAUUGUCAACACUGUUAUGAUUUGAGACAAGCUUGGGGACUCGUCUUGAUAAAUCAAUCAACGUCAGAUUUUAGUUUUCACUGAAUCUCCGUUUUGAUGUUGGUUAGGCUGCAAUUAGUCUGGAGAAAUGUUAUCUAUAGUUGAGGUGAGUGCUGCUCUGGUCAUCUUGUCUAGUUAGCUCAAUUAUUAGAAUAUUUUGCCAGUAGUUUAACAGGUGGGUUAUUUUGCUCUUGACUAAAGUUGUUUAGUAGCCUAGGCCUACUCACGACCAAAAACCUGUUGUUUCACUGAAUCUCCAUCUGUAACUAUAGGCUACUUGGUUAAUUCUCUGGCUGCACAAAUAGGUAUUCAUUUACUCAUCGAUCACUGAUCAGAAACAUUUAGCAUGCAAUAGUGUAGCCUGAAUCAAGUGUUUAUCUAUCACUGAUCAGAAACAUUAAGCAUGCAAUAGUGUAGCCUGAAUCAAGUGUUUAUCUAUCACUGAUCAGAAACAUUUAGCAUGCAAUAGUGUAGCCUGAAUCAAGUGUUUAUCUAUCACUGAUCAGAAACAUUUAGCAUGCAAUAGUGUAGCCUAAAUCAAGUGUUUAUUGAUCACUGCUCAGAAACAUUUAGCAUGCAAUAGUGUAGCCUGAAUCAAGUGUAGCACAAUUUGUUUGUUCGAUCGCGUAUAGGCAACUAUUAACGCCCGCGGAGGUUGUGAAAUAUGAACACGAGAAUCACAUUAUUUUGAAAAUAUAGAUUGCUAGUAUUUUCUGAAGAUAUUAUCAAUGUAAGAGCAUACGCGCCUGCUCCCUAACAAAGUGAAGUGAGGGUAGAGAUGAAACGUGGAACAAAAAAGCAUGGACUUGGGCUCUGUUUCAAAAUACCACCUUUUUUUUUAUAGGACAGCGGUUCCACACGUUUCCGUGACAAGUUGUGAAGGGAAAAUAUAAAUGUCAUUUUUUCCCCCCUGUAUUCCAUUAUAUUCUUAUUAUAAAAUAUAUAUGUGUUGACUAUGAUCGGGUAGGUGGGUCUUGUCUGUUCAAUGAACAAAAUAAUGAACUAUUAAUUUCAUUACUUUGGACGUAACGUUGCCUAAUUAAACCCCAAAAUAUGUUAUUCUAUUCUUUUGAAAAUACAUUUUUAUUCGUCUUAUAAUGUUUCGUAGGCCCUGCCUGAAUGCAUUAAUAAUAGAUAUAUUAUUAUAUAUAUUAUUUUUGGUGGUAUGUAUUUAUAUUCAAUGGAUUUAUUAAAGUAGACGCCCACCCACAUCUGCACACCAAUACUACCACCCAACAGCGGCAUGCACAUGGGAGGUAUAAAAGACGUAUUCAGGCAAGAAUGUGGUAAAAAUAGGCAUGUUGUAAGGGGGUCAUAUAAAAAUGGCCCAAUUUUUUACAGAAACAAAACACCGUAAAUCCUAUGUGAAAGCAGUACUCCACAUCUAAACCAUUGUUGUUAUUGUGGAGCACUCCUCUACAGUAGGUGGCGGUGUUGUACUUUCAAUUGAAUUGCACAGUCCAGUUUAUGAUUACAUUACCGUGAAGAUGAGGAAAAAACAAAUCUCAACAGCUACUUACAAACAAAGCUAGCUAGCGAUGUUUAUGAUAUACUUAUAUCCAUUUUACUAGCUAGAUAGAUAAUUGUGAAUGAUCAUAAUAUAGAAAAACAAAAAUACUGUUUCACUGAAAAGGGGCCAAAAGCGUUGGGGGACAAUGUCGGGUUCCGUUGCUGAUUUCCAGGCGCAGAUAGCCUCAAUCAUGGAGGUGCUAGCCAACGCUGCUGUAGCCGAAAUCUGCAAAGUUGUUGACGAUGGCUAUGCGGUUGUACACCUGGAGAUGACUCAAAGCCACAAGGAGAACGAAUUUCUCCGGAGGAAAAUGAAAUUGAUGGAACUUCAGGUCGCCAGGUUUCGAGCAGAGAGAACAAAGUUUUCAGAGGGGUCCGUCCACAACCGCUUCCAUGGAAUACGCCUGCUAAACAGACACAACCAUCGAGAGACUCCAACGACAGGACCUACUUGGCAAAGCAGAGCCAGACUUUCCAACAGGAGUUUUGGGAACAGCAGCAUACCAAGAGACAGACAGCCCAUAGACGUGGACCAAGAGGAUGUCUCUACAUCAAGGCAUAUGUAUGCUACAAGUGAUGAGCAGUCAGCAGAGACAGAGGAAGGGGAACCAGACCUGCUGAUCAUCAAGGAUGAGGGGGAAGCAGAUGACCAGGACUCUAGGAUCAGCCACCCAGCCAGAACAGUGGAGGGCAGCAGAGAGCUAACCACCCAACUGACUACAGACCCUGCCUUCCAGCCCAGAGGCAACAACAUCAACACCGCUAUGGAGCAGUCAGCAGAGACAGAGGAAGGGGAACCAGACCUGCUGAUCAUCAAGGUGGAGGGAGAAGCAGAUGACCAGGACUCUAGGAUCAGCCACCCAGCCAGAACAGUGGAAGGCAGCAGAGAGCUAACCACCCAACUGGCUGCAGCCACCACAGAGGACCCCGCCUUCCAGUCCAGUGGCCCCAGAAGCAACAACAACAACUACAACAACACCGCUAUGGAGGUCAGUGGAUCUGACGCCGGCCUCGGGUUUACCCCCAAGUCGUUCCAUUCCUCAUCAGAACAUGUGAUAGUGAUUGACUCUGUAUCCAGUGGGCAGCAGGUAGAUAGAGAUUUUGAGUGGGGUCAGGUGGGUACAGCUACUACACCACAGGUCAAUGGGACUGGAAAUAAGCAGGGAGUGGGAGUGUUUAACAGAAAUGCACCAACGAUUCACCCUGUACACCACGAAUCGAUGAGAGACAACACUAUGCAAUUGGUUUCACCCGGAUUCCGUCCCACAGAGAUAAAUACAAGCACCCGUCUUGACGCAGGAAAUACAGGUGAGGCCAACAAAGCUAGUUUGCGCUCUUUGGCAAGCCUCCAUAGACACUCUGAAAUACCAGGAAGAAGAGCUCAACAACCAGCUCAUACCUCACUUCCUGUCAGCCAUUUUAGACCAAGCGCCACAACUUCCUCUCACUCAAGUAGUCUUGCUACUCACAUUAGACCUGGCACCAUAGAACGACCGUACGGUUGCCCGAGCUGCCAUAAGAAGUUUGUUCAUGAGAGCGACUUGCGGCAGCACGUCGUCGUUCACACCAGAAAGCGGGUGUUCGCCUGCACCUUGUGUGAGAAGAGCUUUGUGUCCCCCAGCAAGCUCCAAGUGCACCAGAACGUCCACACUGGGGAGAAGCCCUUCAGUUGUGCACAGUGCGGACGCAGGUUCUCCCAAUCCAGCAAUCUGAAUAGACAUCAGAAGCUUCAUCAUUGAGAACUGACACAGAAGCAAGAGAGUCCUAUUGUUGGGUUCUGAGAAUAUGAAAUAUACUUAUUCAUGUCACUGAGGGAGAGAGGGUAAUGUAUAACGUUUACAUUGCGUCAGGAUAUGCUAUUGUUAGCCAUUAGGGAUCCUAUGGGAGGGAUCCUCUGGGAGGAGAAGAGACACAGUCUGGUACCAGGCACCAUGACAGCCGUGAGUUGGGCAGGGAAGCGAUCACAUGUGGCAGGCAUUGAUAAGGGGAGAGAGCUUUGGAUUAGGCAUCAAGGGGGUUGAGGUCAGGUCAGAUCUCCUUAAGGGAGAAACAACGGUUAAUUACCCCAUCACUUCGUCUUCCUGUCGAACCAUAACAGAUGGAAGGAUUGGAGAGGAGGAGGAGUGCAUCUGAAUUGGAGUAUAUAUACUUGUGUUGGUGGAAACGUGUUUUGUCUAAUGCAGCUGUAUUGAUCCUCUGGGAGAAUAAACUUGGUUAAGCUUUCAUAGUGUCUGUUGAGUUGUUUACUCUGAGAAUUAGAACCUAACACUAUUGAAAACAACUGUUAUAGCAAUAUCAUGAGUUCAAACGUCAUUGGUUCUAACGUAGUCGUAUGUCUGCAGGAUGUUUACCCUGGUCUCAUACGUCUACAAUACAACGUGGUUCGUAUUUACAUUAUCUACAAGGAUUGUUACGUUUUCUUGGCUUCUUAAAAUGCCAACAGCAUCACUCACAUUGACUGUUAAGGUUGAUCAUGGUUGUGUUCUAAUAAUACUGUGUGCCUCACACUAAAGUUAUAGCAGAAAUUGUACUGUGACACUGAAAAACUGUCUGUUCUUUUGUACCAAUUUCACCAAUGGCUGUUGCUGUUUGUUCUUUAAAUCCUAUAAUUCCAUCAAUAAAUCAUAUUUUUCAAAGAA